GAAAUGCGAUAAGUAAUGUGAAUUGCAGAAUUCCGUGAAUCAUCGAAUCUUUGAACGCACAUUGCGCCCUCUGGCAUUCCGGGGGGCAUGCCUGUCCGAGCGUCAUUACGCACCCUCAAGCCCGGCUUGUGUGAUGGGCCCCGGCGUCUCGUUCGCGAGACGGGCCCGAAAGGCAGCGGCGGCGUCGACCCGAUGAGCCCGGGCGUAUGGGGACUUCUGUCACACGUUCGCGGUGCGGACCGGCGCCUGCUUUGACUUUUCUGAUUAUCCAGGUUGACCUCGGAUCAGGUAGGGAUACCCGCUGAACUUAAGC
rnacentral:misc_RNA from 1 species